CCUACGGGUUGCAGCAGUGGGGAAUAUUGCACAAUGGGCGCAAGCCUGAUGCAGCCAUGCCGCGUGUAUGAAGAAGGCCUUCGGGUUGUAAAGUACUUUCAGCGGGGAGGAAGGCGAUAAGGUUAAUAACCUUGUCGAUUGACGUUACCCGCAGAAGAAGCACCAGCUAACUCCGUGCCAGCAGCCGCGGUAAUACGGAGGGUGCAAGCGUUAAUCGGAAUUACUGGGCGUAAAGCGCACGCAGGCGGUCUGUCAAGUCGGAUGUGAAAUCCCCGAGCUCAACCUGGGAACUGCAUUCGAAACUGGCAGGCUAGAGUCUCGUAGAGGGGGGUAGAAUUCCAGGUGUAGCGGUGAAAUGCGUAGAGAUCUGGAGGAAUACCGGUGGCGAAGGCGGCCCCCUAGACAAAGACUGACGCUCAGGUGCGAAAGCGUGGGGAGCAAACAGGAUUAGAUACCCCCGUAGUC
rnacentral:rRNA from 1 species